GCCCGCAUGUGGAGCCAGGUGUGGAGCCGGAGCACAGCUGGCUCUAAUUUGAGGGGC
ensembl:miRNA